UCCUACGGGAGGCAGCAGUCGGGAAUAUUGGACAAUGGGGGCAACCCUGAUCCAGCCAUACCGCGUGUGUGAAGAAGGCCUUCGGGUUGUAAAGCACUUUCAGUGGGGAGGAAAAGUUGCCGGCGAAUACCCGGCGACCGUGACGCUACCUGCAGAAGAAGCACCGGCAAACUCCGUGCCAGCAGCCGCGGUAAUACGGAGGGUGCGAGCGUUAAUCGGAAUUACUGGGCGUAAAGCGCGCGUAGGCGGUUUGGUAAGCUGGAUGUGAAAGCCCUGGGCUCAACCUGGGAACCGCGUCCAGAACUGCCAAGCUAGAGUAUGGUAGAGGGCAGUGGAAUUUCCGGUGUAGCGGUGAAAUGCGUAGAGAUCGGAAGGAACACCAGUGGCGAAGGCGACUGCCUGGACCAAUACUGACGCUGAGGUGCGAAAGCGUGGGGAGCAAACAGGAUUAGAUCCCCUGGUAGUCCACGCCGUAAACGAUGUCAACUAGCCGUUGGGCUCCUUGAGGGUCUAGUGGCGCACCUAACGCAUAUAAAAGAACACCCUGUUUGACCCUUUAUUA
rnacentral:rRNA from 1 species